CGCGUAGGCGGGAUGGCAAGUCGGUCGUGAAAUCCUUCGGCUCAACCGAAGAACGUCGGCCGAUACUGCCGUUCUUGAGGGAUGCAGAGGAGACUGGAAUUCCCGGUGUAGCGGUGAAAUGUGUAGAGAUCGGGAGGAACACCGGUGGCGAAGGCGGGUCUCUGGGCAUCUCCUGACGCUGAGGCGCGAAAGCGUGGGGAGCAAACGGGAUUAGAUCCCCGGUAAAAAAGUCCACGCCAUAAACGAUGACGACUAGGUGUGGGGUGGUUCAGUCCACUCCGUGCCGCAGCUAACGCAUUAAGUCGUCCGCCUGGGGAGUACGGCCGCAAGGUUGAA
rnacentral:rRNA from 1 species